AACGAACGCUGGCGGCAGGCUUAACACAUGCAAGUCGAACGGAAUAUAUGGGGCUUGCCCUAUAUAUCAGUGGCGCACGGGUGAGUAACGCGUGGGGAUCUGUCUUGAGGUAAUGGAUAGCUUCUGGAAACGGAAGGUAAUACAUUAUGAGCCCUGAGGGGGAAAGGAUUAAUUCGCCUUAAGAGGAACCCGCGUUAGAUUAGGUAGUUGGUGGGGUAAGGGCCUACCAAGCCGACGAUCUAUAGCCGGUCUGAGAGGAUGAUCGGCCACAUUGGGACUGAGACACGGCCCAAACUCCUACGGGAGGCAGCAGUGGGGAAUAUUGGACAAUGGGGGUUACCCUGAUCCAGCCAUGCCGCGUGAGUGAUGACGGCCUUCGGGUUGUAAAGCUCUUUUAGAUGGGAAGAUAAUGACGGUACCAUCAGAAUAAGCACCGGCUAACUUCGUG
rnacentral:rRNA from 1 species